CCGGCCGGAAUCCCGGCGCUCGGACCAUUUGAUCUAGGCCGCUGGCACCGGGCCGCCGGUCCCCUGGAGGAUCCUGGAUGACAGCGGAGAUUCUUUUUUGUCUUCUCGUCUUAAAAGCGCAGGGCCAGCGAAUCCACUGCCUCCCUGUGGAUUAUCUCUGCAGAGACGAGAAGAAAUCCAGGGACCGCCCCCCUCCUUCCUAACAGGGAGGGAGCGUGAUUGGGUUUCCAUUUGCGUCCACAGAAACGGUGGCCGGUGAGCAGACGGCCGAAAAAAAUGCAUAUUUAAUUAUUUCUAACAGCUCUUUAUAACUGGGCACCAGACAACGACCGCCUUUAACAUACCUUUCCUGGAGAAGCAGAAGGGGAAAAUGUGCUUUGUGAGGAGGAGAGCAAAGGCCUCUCCAGGCCCUGUGGAAUUCUUCAUACCUGCAAUAGCACCACCUCUGUUGAUCCUCACAAUAGUCCCGUGUGUAGGCAGAGGACAGUCAUUUGUGUUUAUCUGAAUUGGAGCUUUAGGAUAUAAAUAGUUUCAGGCCCUGCUGCUCUAUCUUCCCAACCAGACCUCCUAAAUUGAAACUGAGCUUCUUCAAGACCGGUCUGCUGCUGGUGCCCGUCCCAUGUCGUGCUCAGAUGGGCUCUGUGACUGGGGUUAGGAUGUUCUCUAUCACUGCAUACAUUCUACCUUGGAACACAGUUCACUCGUCUCAUGGGAGCUCUCCAACAACUCCGUGAAGUGGGCCCAUUUCAUGGGUGGGAAAAGGCACCAGGGUAUUUGAGUAUACUCAAAUAUAUCUGAGUAUUUGCCGAGGGUCACAAAGAAAGUCACUGAAGCAUUAUAGAGUGUGAAGUAAACAGUACAGUAAUAGUACAGAUGACACACUGAACCACAGUGAGAAUCCAGCCGUGCUUUCUCUUUCCCUGAUCUCACUAAACCAUGCUUUUAGGGGCUUACAAGCCAAGCCCACCACUCUGCUCUGUCCUUUCAUAAAUCAGAGCCUAGCCUCUGCUAUCAGGAAUAAUUUAUCUUUGCCCACGUAGAAGACAAAGUUGUUACCCUGAGUGACAGUCAUGACAGAAGAAAACGACGAGACCAGAUGGAAUUUAUGGAUAAAUAUAUUAGCAAAUAAAUACAUUUCUCAACAUA